rnacentral:rRNA from 1 species
CCUACGGGUGGCUGCAGUGAGGAAUAUUGGUCAAUGGACGAGAGUCUGAACCAGCCAAGUAGCGUGAAGGAUGACUGCCCUAUGGGUUGUAAACUUCUUUUAUAUGGGAAUAAAAUGUUCCACGUGUGGGAUUUUGUAUGUACCAUAUGAAUAAGGAUCGGCUAACUCCGUGCCAGCAGCCGCGGUAAUACGGAGGAUCCGAGCGUUAUCCGGAUUUAUUGGGUUUAAAGGGAGCGUAGGGGGAUUGUUAAGUCAGUUGUGAAAGUUUGCGGCUCAACCGUAAAAUUGCAGUUGAAACUGGCAGUCUUGAGUACAGUAGAGGUGGGCGGAAUUCGUGGUGGAGCGGUGAAAUGCUUAGAUAUCACGAAGAACUCCGAUUGCGAAGGCAGUUCACUGGACUGCAACUGACACUGAGGCUCGAAAGUGUGGGUAUCAAACAGGAUUAGAUACCCUAGUAGUC